rnacentral:rRNA from 1 species
GACGAACGCUGGCGGCGUGCUUAACACAUGCAAGUCGAACGAAGUGGCGAACGGGUGAGUAACGCGUAAUCAACCUGCCCUUCAGAGGGGGACAAUAGUUGGAAACGACUGCUAAUACCGCAUACUGAAGGAGGGGAUUGCGUCUGAUUAGCUAGUUGGAGGGGUAACGGCCCACCAAGGCGAUGAUCAGUAGCGGGUAUGAGAGGAUGAACGGCCACAUUGGGACUGAGACACGGCCCAGACUCCUACGGGAGGCAGCAGUGGGGAAUCUUCCGCAAUGGACGAAAGUCUGACGGAGCAACGCCGCGUGAGUGAAGAAGGUUUUCGGAUCGUAAACCUCUGUUGUUAGAGAAGCGGUAUCUAACCAGAAAGCCACGGCUAACUACGUGCCAGCCGCCGCGGUAAUAC